rnacentral:lncRNA from 1 species
GACUCUAAAUGUUAGUGGAAACAGUUAAUCUGGAUGCAGCCUCUAAUGGGUACAUGAAAUCAUCUUACCACAGCUCCCACAGCAAGCAGAGCCUAACAUCACCCAGGUCAUGAGGCUCCAGAUAUAAAAUAAACUCCUUUCAUGUUGGGACAAAUAAAAGAGGCAAUGAAGGAUAAAGGGAUGAUAGGUGAGGGCUUUUAUAGAUCAUAAUUCAAACAGUAUUUCAGUACUGCUUAGCUGUGAAACCCUGGGCAAGUUACUGAACCUCUCUGAACUUUGGUUUUCUCAUCUGUAACCUGAGAUGACAUCAACCUCAUAGAUUCACUGUGAAGAGUAAAUAGAAUAAUAAGUCCAGGCACAGUGGCUCAAGCCUGUAAUCCCAGCACUUUGGGAGGCUCAAGCGGGUGGAUCACCUGAGGUCAGGAGUUCGAGACCAGCCUGACCAACAUGGUGAAACCCCGUCUACCAAAAAUACAAAAUCAGCUGGGCGUGGUGGCGCAUGCCUGUAGUUCCAACUACUUGGGAGGCUAAGGCAGGAGAAUCGCUUGAACCCGGGGGUGGAGGUUGCAGUGAGCUGAGAUGACACCAUUGCACUCUAGCCUGGGCUACAACAGCAAAACUCCAUCUCGAAAAAAGAAAAAAAAAAGAAUAACUAAUAAAAUGCCUGGCCCUGUUUUAUUUAAACAAUUGGUAGUCUUCUGAGACUAUGCUAAUUCUAGGAAAAGCUACAGCUCAUUAUGACUGUAUCAAAAUAAACACAGCUAAUGAGGGUUCUUUCUCCCACUGAAUAUGUGUUUAUUUCAACAAUGCCAACGCAGCUCAAAAUAAUUUUGGAUAUCUUUCUUAAGAUACCUUCUGAAAGCCCACGGAAGAUUCUCUUAAACUGCCUUGGUAGCAAAUCUUCACUCUUUGAAGGUGCAUCUGAUUUUGUGAAAGAGCCAAAGCUUACCUGAAGCCGUAUCUAGUUAACAAUGAGAUAUGACCAAAACAAUAAAACUGGUUUUCUUGAGUGACUUGCUUUAAAAUAACAGUUCCAAAAAAGGUUAUAACCAUGGCAGAGCCAUUGUUCCAGCAGAAGCUCCUCUGAAGAAAUUCAUCUAGAUGUGUAAGUUCUAUUUGUUUUAAAUGUCUCAUUAUUUUAUAGUGACAAUUAGUAUACUCAUGCAUUAAGGCGAUGUUAAUGUUUCAAUGUUUUUAAAUGUUUUUAAAACAAUGACUAAUGCCUAAUAUACCCUAAAUAGUAUAUGCUUUAACUACUGAAAUCUAUCCUAGGCCACGUAUGGUGGCUUACGCCUGUAAUCCCAGCACUUUGGGAGGCCAAGGCAGGUGGAUCACGAGGUCAAGAGAUCGAGACCAUGCUGAAUAACACGGUGAAACCUCGUCUCUACUAAAAAUACAAAAAAAAAAAAAAAUUAGCUGGGCAUGGUGGCACGUGCCUGUAGUCCCAGCUACUCGGGAGGCUGAGGCAGAAGAAUGGCGUGAACCCUGGAGGCGGAGCUUGCAGUGAGUGGAGAUCACGCCACUGCACUCCAGCUUGAGUGACAGAGUGAGACUCUGUCUCAAAACACAAAACAAAAAAAAACAAAAAAAGAAAUUUACCCUAGUGUAGCAAUUUGUAACAUUAUACACAAUAAUCUACAAUAUGUAAUAUACAUGAAGUAUAAUAAUAUAAUGUAGCACUCACAGCACAGAAGUCCAGGCUAGGCGCAAUUCUAAUGUCAAGUUAUUAUGUGGCACUAAGAAAAAAUAUUCAGGCCAGACGUGGUGGCUCACACCUGUAAUCCCAGCACUUUGAGAGGCUAAGGUGGGGCAGGUGGAUCACCUGAGGUCAGGAGUUCGAGACCAGCCUGACCAACAUGAUGAAACCCCAUCUCUAUUAAAAAUACGAAAAAAGUAGCCAGGCUUGGUGGCACAUGCCUGUAAUCCCAGCUACUUGGGAGGCUGAGGCAGGAGAAUCUCUUGAACCCAGGAGGUAGAGGUUACAGUGAGCCAAGAUAGCACCAUUGCACUCCAGCCUGGGCAACAAAAGCAAAACUCUGUCUCAAAAAGAAAAAAAUAUUCAAUCUUCCUAGGUCUCAUUUCCUCAUCUAAAAAACUUGGGAAAUAGCAGCUACUAUAUCUGACAGAAAGGUUAGGAACUAUACCUGAAAAUAUUUUGAUGCUAGAAAUACUAAUAAAAAGGAGAUAUUAUCAAAUUUUUGCUCCCCAAGAAUUUAAGGGGCAGAAGUUACCUAUUUGAAAUAAGGGAGUAGACUUUUUUAAACUUUAAGUUUGGGGUACAUAUGCAGGUUUGUUAUAUAGGUACGCUUUUGUCAUAGGGGUUUGUUAUACAGAUUAUUUCAUCACCCAGGUGUUAAGUCUAGUGCCCAUUAGUUAUUUUUCCUGUUCCUCUCCCUCCUCCCACCCUCCACCCACCGACAAGCCCCAGUGUCUAUUGUUCCCUUCUGUGUGUCCCUGUGUUCUCAUCAUUCGGCUCCCACUUACAAGUGAGAACAUGCAGUAUUUGGUUUUCUGUUCCCACGUUAGUUUGCUGAUGAUAAAGAUCUCUAGUUCCAUCCAUGUUCCCGCAAAGGACAUGCUUUCAUUCCUUUUAAUGGCUGCAUAGUAUUCCAUAAUGUAUAUGUACUACAUUUUCUUUCUCUAGGGGAGUAAACUAUUUUAAGAGACUAUAACUCAGUGAUAAUUACG